AUGUGGAUCUCCAGCCUUGCGUCGCAGCUCCGAGUGCUUGGCGACAGCAUGGACGACGCGAGAGUCGUGCAGAAAUUUCUCCGCGUCGUGCCACCUCGCUUCGCUCAGGUAGCGGUCUCCAUCGAGACUUUGCUCGACCUGAGUGAGGUCUCCAUCGAGGAGCUCAUUGGCCGGUUGCGGGUGGUUGAGGACCGCCUCGACGACGACCACGAGAGCUUCGCCGGCGGACAACUCCUAUUCUCGAAGAAGUGGGAGGCGAGGAAGCAUCAAGGACAUGGUGGCGGUGCCCAGAGCAGCGGAGGCGGCACCGGCAGAGGCGGUGGUCACACCCAAGGCGGGGCUAGACGAGGUGCCGGCAAUGACGACCGGGACAAAUGCCGAUAUUGCAGCAUCAAGGGCCACUGGGCCCAUGAAUGCCGCAAGAGGAUGGCUGACGAGGAUGCCGCAGCCGCGGGAAAUCUCGUGCAGGCU
rnacentral:rRNA from 1 species